GACGAACGCUGGCGGCGUGCUUAACACAUGCAAGUCGAACGGACAGGCCAGGAUUUUGUUGCGCUGUCGUUAGCCGCGGGCGGGUGAGUAACACGUAAAUCACGUACCUAUAAGACUGAACUAACUUCGAAAAACGGGAGAUUAUACCUGAUAAUCUAUUGAACCGCAUGGUGGAAUAGUGAGUGGCGGUUUUGCUGUCACUUAUAGGUGGUUCCGGGCCGGAUUAGCUGGUUGGUAAGGUAACGGCUUACCACGGCGACGAUGGGUAGCCGACCUGCGAGGGUGAUCGGCCACACUGGAACUGAGACACGGACACGACCCCUACGGGAGGGAGCAGUAGCGAAUGUGCAGAAAAGGGCGAGAGCGUGACGGAGCAACGGCGCGGGAGUGAUGAAGAUCUUCGGAUCGUAAUACUCUGCUACUAGCGAAGAAGAGGUGUCUACGUGGCUAUGCAGGUCUUGACGGUACUGGAUCAAGAAGCACCGGCUAACUACGUG
rnacentral:rRNA from 1 species